rnacentral:rRNA from 1 species
UGAGGAAUAUUGGACAAUGGAGGCAACUCUGAUCCAGCCAUGCCGCGUGAAGGACUAAGGCCCUAUGGGUCGUAAACUUCUUUUGACGCAGAGCAAUAAGGAUUACGUGUAGUCUGAUGAGAGUAUGCGUCGAAUAAGCAUCGGCUAACUCCGUGCCAGCAGCCGCGGUAAUACGGAGGAUGCAAGCGUUAUCCGGAUUUAUUGGGUUUAAAGGGUGCGUAGGCGGAUGGGUAAGUCAGCGGUGAAAUGUCCCGGCUCAACCGGGGAACUGCCAUUGAUACUGCUUGUCUUGAAUGCGGAUGCCCGUGGGAGGAAUGUGUAGUGUAGCGGUGAAAUGCAUAGAUAUCGCGCAGAACUCCGAUUGCGAAGGCAGCGUACUAUUCUCCGACUGACGCUGAGGCACGAAAGCGUGGGGAU